rnacentral:rRNA from 1 species
GUGCAGCAGCGAGAAUCUUCCGCAAUGGGCGAAAGCCUGACGGAGCGACGCCGCGUGCUUGAAGAAGCCCUUCGGGGUGUAAAAAGCUUUUCUACCUGAGAAACCUUCGGGUGAUGUUAGGGUAGGAAUAAGGGGAGGCUAAUCACGUGCCAGAAGCCUCGGUAAUACGUGAUCCCCAAGCGUUAUCCGGAUUUAUUGGGCGUAAAGGGUUCGUAGGCGGUUUGUAAAGUUUUUGUU